CAUUAUUGGGGGAAGGAUUCAUUGUAUGCUGUUCCAGUUUGACUGCUAGGAGAGUAAACCUAUUCGUAUGGUUCCUAUUCAACUGUCUACAGCAUUCAUAUGCUGGAGAGGAUUCAUAUGCUUCUCCGGUUCGGUGGUUGUGGUGUCUGCUGCAGUGCUUGGAGUCCUCAGGAAGCGCUAGGAGCAUCCUUUAACGGAGGUACCCAGUCGGGGUGCCAGGCGAUCCGUUACAUUGGUG